GCACAGUACGCUUGCAUCUCUGCAUUUAUGUCUGGAACUAGCAUUACAGUCUGUAAGACUAUCUAAGUGUUAGGCCACUGGGGCAAAAGAGCUCUCUCACACCAGCGCCAUGCUGGUAGUAGAGGGGACGAACCAAUCCAAACCCCCCAACACUAAGCGGGUCAAUUAGUAGUUUAUAUCACAUGCCAGGUGGCCCAACCUUAGAUUCCAUUUUUGCACAACAUUUGAUUCCUCCCCCCCACAGAAGGAGAGUAAGUAGUUGAUUAACUAGUUAAUUAAGUCAACAAAGAUUAGUUAACCUAUCACAAUUAGACUUGAUAACUACUAUACAGAGUACAACAUUGAUUUCAAAGCGGAGGAGGUAUGUAUGUAUGUAUGUAUGUAUGUAUGUAUGUAUGUCCCUUUGGCAUGGAAAAGAAAAGAAAAGAAAAGAACAGAGGAAAUUCCUAGGACAAGGGUAGAAUGUAGGACAGAGACGUAAGGUGAAUAAAUCAAUGUGUAACGAUAUAUGCCUCACUCGAAAUUCCCUACCAACCGAAUCAAAGGGAGG
rnacentral:sRNA from 1 species